CUAUGUCAAGAGAUCGUUGACGUUUGAUUGACAUCUCGACACCUUGUCAAGAUAUAUAAGGAACGCGGAAGUCGCGCGCGAGCUCUUUCGUGCCUGAAAUUCCGGACAGUGAACAUCCAAGAAGAAUUUAAAUAUAAGCGUUGAAAACUUAUGUGGGUGAAACGCUAGAAUUGACUGGAGUUCUUCGACAAGAAAUGGGCACUUGUCUUUGCAUAGACAGCAACAAUGUGCCUCCGACAGUCAGCAAACGUUACUCUGUACAAGUUCACUGUAAACAAAAUAAAAACCUGCCAAGCACUGUGGCGGCACGGGCCACGGAACUUUUCAACGGCUCCGGAUGCAAAGCGCGAC